rnacentral:rRNA from 1 species
GACGAACCGUGCGAACGUUGUUCGGAAUCACUGGGCUUAAAGGGCGCGUAGGCGGCCCGCCGCGUCCGGGGUGAAAUCCUCCCGCUCAACGGGAGAACGGCCUCGGAUACGGGCGGGCUGGAGGCGGGUAGGGGCGGGCGGAACUGUGGGUGGAGCGGUGAAAUGCGUUGAUAUCCACAGGAACUCCGGUGGCGAAGGCGGCCCGCUGGACCCGAUCUGACGCUGAGGCGCGAAAGCGUGGGGAGCAAACAGGAUUAGAGUACC